UGGCAAUUGUACGCAGAAGAUACCAUCAUGGUAUUAUAGUUUCUGGACUGGGAGAUGCAAAGGUUUCAUCUACAGUGGUUGUGGCGGCAACUCGAACCGAUUUCCUACUGAAGGGGAAUGUCAAAAUGCUUGCACACGCAAAACGCAAGCAAUAAAGAUAUGCCGAAGACGCACAGCCGCAUUUCGCAAGAGAUACAACUUGGGGCUUCAGCCAAACACCAAUGUUUCAUUGGGAACAUUAGCAGGAAUAUUCCUUGGAUAACGCGAUGCAUCAGGAAAUAAACUUGAAAGGUAUUGCAGUGACCACCGAC